CAGUAGCCGCGGGAAAACGUAGGGAGCGAGCGUUAAUCGGAAUUACUGGGCGUAAAGGGCUCGCAGGCGGUUUCUUAAGUCUGAUGUGAAAGCCCCCGGCUCAACCUGGGAGGGUCAUUGGAAACUGGGAAACUUGAGUGCAGAAGAGGAGAGUGGAAUUCCACGUGUAGCGGUGAAAUGCGUAGAGAUGUGGAGGAACACCAGUGGCGAAGGCGACUCUCUGGUCUGUAACUGACGCUGAGGAGCGAAAGCGUGGGGAGCGAACAGGAUUAGAUACCCGCGUAGUCCCUGUCUCUUAUAC
rnacentral:rRNA from 1 species